rnacentral:rRNA from 1 species
AUUGAACGCUGGCGGCAGGCCUAACACAUGCAAGUCGAACGGAUGAACGGUGCUUGCUUGUGGAUUCGGGGGCGGACGGGUGAGUGGUGCCUAAGAAUCUCGGAAGCUGCGGGGUAGUACGGGAGAACGCGGGGGCAAUUACGCUAAUAGUGCAGAGGGAGAAAGUGUGGAAUCAUGGGACCUCACGCGAUUAGGUGACCGUAGGUCGGAUUAGCGAGUUGGUGGGGUAAAGGGCUACCAAGGCGACGAUCCGGAGCUGGUCUGAGAGGAUGAUCAGUCACACUGGAACUGAGACACGGUCCAGACUCCUACGGGAGGCAGCAGUGGGGAAUAUUGGACAAUGGGCGGAAGCCUGAUCCAGCCAUGCCGCGUGUGUGAAGAAGGUCUUCGGAUUGUAAAGCACUUUUAGUGGGAAGGAAGGGCAGUAGGUUAAUACCUUGCUGUUUUGACGGUACCAACAGAAUAAGCACCGGCUAACUUCGUG